UCCCGGCUGUUAAACGAUCCGGGCUAGGUGUUGGGCGGGUCUUAAACCCCGCCCAGUUCCGCCAGGGAAGCCGUUAAGCCCGCCGCCUGGGGAGUACGGCCCGCAAGGCUGAAACUUAAAGGAAUUGGCGGGGGAAGCACCACAAGGGGUGGAGCCUGCGGCUUAAUUGGAGUCAACGCCAGGAAUCUCACCCGGGGGCGACAGCAGGAUGACGGCCAGGCUGACGACCUUGCCCGACGCGCUGAGAGGAGGUGCAUGGCCGUCGCCAGCUCGUGUCGUGAGAUGUCCGGUUAAGUCCGGCAACGAGCGAGACCCCCGCCCCCAGUUGCGAUCCGGUCCUCCGGGACCGGAGCACACUGGGGGGACUGCCGCCGUGUAAGGCGGAGGAAGGAGGGGGCCACGGCAGGUCAGCAUGCCCCGAAACCCCCGGGCUGCACGCGGGCUACAAUGGCGGGGACAGCGGGCUUCCGACCCCGAAAGGGGGAGGGAAUCCCUUAAACCCCGCCGUAGUUGGGAUCGAGGGCUGCAACUCGCCCUCGUGAACGAGGAAUCCCUAGUAACCGCGCGUCAACU
rnacentral:rRNA from 1 species